GAUGAACGCUGGCGGCGUGCCUAAUACAUGCAAGUCGAGCGAACAGACGAGGAGCUUGCUCCUCUGACGUUAGCGGCGGACGGGUGAGUAACACGUGGAUAACCUACCUAUAAGACUGGGAUAACUUCGGGAAACCGGAGCUAAUACCGGAUAAUAUAUUGAACCGCAUGGUUCAAUAGUGAAAGACGGUUUUGCUGUCACUUAUAGAUGGAUCCGCGCCGCAUUAGCUAGUUGGUAAGGUAACGGCUUACCAAGGCAACGAUGCGUAGCCGACCUGAGAGGGUGAGCGGACAAACUGGAACUGAGACACGGUCCAGACGACUACGGGAGGCAGCAGUAGGGAAUCUGCCGCAAUGGGCGAAAGCCUGACGGAGCAACGCCGCGUGAGUGAUGAAGGUCUUAGGAUCGUAAAACUCUGUUAUUAGGGAAGAACAAAUGUGUAAGUAACUAUGCACGUCUUGACGGUACCUAAUAAGAAAGCCACGGCUAACUACGUG
rnacentral:rRNA from 1 species